AACAGAGCGUUCAUUUACUUUCUCACCUCCAUCUCCCUUUUAUUACGGCUGUACUGUUUUGCUUUCAUUCUUGCCGUCUCCUUUUGAUUCUUGUACUCCCUUUGCUUCUUUGUUUUCCUUCUUGUUGUUUUUUUGGUCUUUUCAUCUUGUGUUUCCUUUUAAUUUCUUAAGAACAAAAAAAAGGUCAAAAAAAAAGCCCUUUUGAUUCUUGUACUGUCUUUGCUUCUUUGCUUUCAGUCUUGCUGUCUCUUUUUGAUUCUUGUACUAUCUUUGCUUUUGUUCUUCUUGUUUUUUUUGGCUUUUUCAUCUUGUGUUUCCUUAUAAUUUCUUAAGAAAAAAAAAAUGUCAAGAAAAAAGCCCAAAAAUUAAAAAGAGAAAAAAGUGAGAAAUGGCUGAAGGAAUUGGUUUCUCCUUUUUGGGGAAAGCUCUGGGGGGAAUUGGAGCGUACUUGGUUGCUCCGAUCGGCAGACAGUUUGGUUAUCUGUUUUGCUUCAACACCAACAUUCAAAAUCUUGAGACUCAAUUGGACAGCCUAAAAGUGACAAGAGAAGGGGUUCAACUAGGGGUGGAUGAAACACGCAACAAUGUCAGAACCGUUGGACCUCAUCUUGAGGCAUGGCUGACUAAAGCAAAUGACAACACAGCAGAGGCAGCGACAAUUAUUAAAGACAAGGCCCAAGUUCAAAAGGGGUGUUUCAAUGGGUGGUGUCCAAAUCUCAAGUUGCGUUGCUCACUGGGCAGGAAAGCUGUGAAGAAGACUCAGGAACUAGCUCUUCUCCAUUCUGAGGGUAGCAACUACAUUCAGUCGUCCUACAAUCCACCACCACCAAGCAUAGAACCUAUACCUACAACAACAGGAUUCCAGGGGUUUGAUUCUCGAAUUCUGGUCAUGAACGAGAUCAUUGAGGCUUUGAAAGAUGAUGGGAUCCACUUGAUUGGGAUAUGCGGGAUGGGCGGAAUAGGCAAGACAACAAUGGCAAAAGAAGUUGCAAAAAGAACCAAAAAUCUCUUCAAUGAAUUUCCAAUGGCAGUUGUCAGCCAAGAGCCAGACCUAACUAAGGUUCAAGGGUGUAUUGCAGACAUGUUGGAUCUCAAACUUGAUGACAGGGAGAGCCCGAUAGCAAGAGCAAGUCUCCUACGCAAGAGACUUCUGCUAGACAAUAAGAAAAUUCUUGUCAUACUGGAUGACAUUUGGGAAGAAUUUGAUCUAGAGGAGUUGGGAUUUCCUUUGGAAGGAGGUAGCAACAAGAGUUGUAAGAUCCUUUUCACUUCACGAAAUCGAAAUAUGUGGAAAGGAAUACAAAAUAAAAGGUAUAUCCAACUUGAAGUCCUAGUAGGUGAAGAACCAUGGCAUCUCUUUAGAGAGAAGGUAGGCGAUUGUGCUGACGACCUUGAUUUGCUACCACUAGCAAAGCAGAUUGUAAAUGAAUGUGGAGGUUUACCACUUGCCCUCAUAACUAUCGGAAGGGCUCUUACAAGCGAACACAACCAACAUCAUUGGAAUAAUGCGCUUCAACAACUAAGAACCCCUUGUUUAGAAAGUUUGUCGUCAGAAGUGCCUGCAAAAGUGUAUCAGGCUCUAUAUUUUAGUUACAAUUUUCUACAAGAUGAGAGAGCCAAGAAACUGUUUCUGCUCUGUUGCUUGUUUCCAGAAGACUAUGAAAUUCCUAUUGAAGAUUUGGUUCGAUACGGAAUCGGAUUGCGGUGGUUUGAAGGCAUCGACAAAGUGGAUGAAGUAAGAGAUCGAGUGAAUGUCUUGGUUGAUCAACUUAGAAGUUGUUAUUUAUUGUUGGAUGGUGAUCUCGAGUUGCUAAUAAAAAUAAAAAUGCACGAUGUAGUGCGCAAUGUCGCCAUAUCAAUUGCGGCAAAAGAUAAGCAUGGUUUUAUGAUAAUCCAUGGUGCCAAAUCGAGAAAGUGGCCAAAGAAGCCGACAUAUGAGCUUAACACUUCCAUUUCGGUGAUAUCAAAUGAAAUUGAAGAGUUUCCAGGAGGAUUGAGAUGCUCAAAACUUGAGUUUUUACUAAUACGAUGCCAGAAUAGUCUGCUAAAAAUACCGAGCAAUUUUUUUGAGGGCAUGGGGGAACUCAAAGUAUUGGACCUGAGAAUCACGAAAGACAUCUCGUUACUGCCGUCAUCACUGCAAUUCUCGAGAAACCUGUUGGCAUUGCAUCUUGAUCAUAGUCAGAAGUUCGAUAAUAUAUCUGUAAUUGGAAAGCUAUUGAAUCUGGAAAUCCUCACGUUUGGUGAAUCCAACAUUGAGGAGUUACCUGAGGAAAUAGGAGGACUGGUUAAUUUAAAGUUGUUAGAUCUGACAAGAUGUAAACUUAAAAGAAUAGCACCUAGUGUCAUAUCAGCCCUAGUCCAAUUACAAGAGUUGUACAUGGGUGGCUGCGGUAUCAUUUGGGAAGGAGAAGGCAAGGAAGGAGGAGAAAAUGCGAGCUUAAGAGAGUUUGAAUCCUUGUCCAAUUUGAAUACUUUAGAGAUUAAUAUAAAAGAUGUGUGUUUGCCAAGAAUCCCAUUGUUUAGCAAAUUGACAAAAUACUCAAUUUUGAUAGGUCAUGGUGCCAGCGCCUAUUUUGCUAGAGAAUACAUAACUAGGCCCCGAAGGUUUUUGAGUCUCCAUCUUCAUGACACAUGUAUUAUCCCGUUAGAUUGCGGUGGGAUCAAUUCGUUGUUAAGGAGUACUGCAGAUCUACAGUUAAGGGGGAAGGGUUCGGAGGAUGCAGUGCAAGAGUUGUUUCGAGAGGGAGUUGAAGGACUCCAACACUUGAAGUACCUAUUAAUUGAUGAUUGUGUUACACCAGAAUGUUUUGUCAAUACAAUGGAAUGGGUCCCGCAUACACAUAAUGCUAUUCCUCCUAUUUUUCCUAUCCUGGAGUUCUUAGAUCUCAGUAAUCUACCCAAUUUAAGAAAGAUAUGUCACUGCCAACUUCCAACCGGCUCUUUUGGAAAACUAAAACAUCUUCAUAUUCAUGAACUUGAUGGAAUGGAAGAAGUCAUUUGGAAGGAAAAAGGAGAAGAUGAUGCAACAAACAAGAUGGAGUUUCCAGCGUUAGAAUCCAUGAAUUUGUGGAAACUACCAAUGCUCAUUGGUUUUUGUAGAGGGACUGACGAGAUUGAGUUCCCUCAAUUGAAGAAAUUGCAUCUUCAUCGUCUACCACAACUCAAGUGGCUCUUCCUCGAUAGCAGUAAUCCGUUUUCAGAGUCAAUGGAAAACCAUACCUUCCUAUCUCUUUUCCCCCACAAGGUUGCAUUACCUAGCUUGGAGGAGCUAGAACUCAAGGAUCUUAACAAUCUGGAAGGGCUGGAACACAUUCCAAUCUCAGUGGGUUCCUUUUCUAAACUUAAAAAAGUACAUGUAGAACACUGUGGCAAAUGGCUCUGUGUUUUUCCAUCACAAUUUCUUACGAGGCUGCGAAAUCUUGAAGAUCUAACUGUAGAAAAUUUCAGUUUACUAGAGAAGGUGUUUGGAUUGGAAAUGAGGGACUGUAAGGAACAAGAAUCAGAGAUGCUCUCGCUCUUGAAAUCUCUAAAAUUAAAACGUCUACCCCAACUGAAUUAUAUUUCAAAGAGAGAUCCCAUUGGAUUGAUGUACAUUUCACAAUUAAAUAUUCUACAUGUUCAUGACUGUGAUAACUUGAGAUAUCUAUUCCCACAUUCCAUGAUGAAGUGUAUGUUACAACUCCAAGAAUUGGAGAUAAGCAGAUGUAAAAUGAUGUCAAGGAUUGUUGCAGAUGAGAAAGGGCAGGGCAAAAGCUCGGUGGAUAAAAUUGAGUUCACUCAAUUGAAAAUUUUGCAGCUUUAUGAUCUACCGAUCCUUGUGAGUUUCUUUCCCAAAGUGAUUGCUACUUUGGCUACAUCAACAGAAUGCCUCCAAAAUGUCAAGCAAACUCUAUUCAAUGAGAAGGUUGCAUUCCCUAGCUUGGAGGAAUUGAAACUCCAUGGAUUUCAGAGCAUGAACGAAAUAUGGUGCAAUCAACUUCAGACCGACUCGUUCAACAAACUAAUUAAACUGUAUGUCUCAAAUUGUGGCAGUUUGAAAAAUCUGUUCUCUCUUUUUAUGGCCAGAUAUCUUGUGCAUCUAAAAGAGCUAGUCAUAAGAAAAUGCUUGAUGAUGGAAGAAGUAGUUGCAAAGGAGGAAGAUAAAGAAGGAAGGAUAAACAGAACUCCAUUGCCUAAAUUGGAGUAUUUGAAACUCAAAGAUCUACCAGAGCUCAAGAGUUUUUGCCACGUUACUCAUGUUUGGGAAUUGCCACUGGUAGAAAACAUCACUGUCCUCAAUUGCCCUGAAAUGAAGACCUUCUCUCCUGGAGUCAUAUGCACCCCAAAGUUGCAACGUGUAUUUGUGCAGGAGGGAAGAGUCAAGUGGUACCCAGGCAGAGAAGGAGAAGACUGGCUAUGGAUAAGUGACCUCAAUCAAACCACACUGUACCUAAUUGAAAAGCAACAACAACAAGAACAAUUGCAACAGGACCUGCAGCAACAACAUGAAAGGCGGACCUAGCGUAGCAGUAAAGCUACCUCUUGGUGACCUGGUAGUCACGGUUUCGAGUUGUGGAAACAGCCUCUUUGCUUGCAGGGGUAAGGUUGUGCACAUCAACCCUUCCCCAGAUCUCGCUUAAGCGGGAGUUUUGUGCACUAGGUCCCUUUUCAGAUGCCAGUUCCUCCGGACGCCCCAGUAGGAGCUACAGUAAGACCUUCAGUGCCUCUCUCGAUAGCAGGGAGGGAGAGGUGAAAGACUCCAGCACACGGCCGAAGCAGAGCCAGACGUACUCGUGCUGAGAGCAGUUCACUAGAGCCUAUCCCGGAGGAUGAUGAGACAAAUGAGGAUGUGGAGCCAGUGAGUUCGCAGUCAGAGUCAUCUGAGGGUGGAGGCGACGGCAUCGGCUCCAGCUCUGAGGGCAGUGGCGAUGCUGAGAAGGGGAGCAGAGAUGGCUCUGGAUCGGGUUCUAGUUCAGAUUCAGAAAGCAGGGCUGACGGCGACAGCUCUGAGUCCACACAGUCGAGGAAGAGGACGAAGAGGGCUUCUUGAUCUUGAGACAGCUAGCACAGAUUCAUAUGCCCUUUUUUGCUUUAGUUUUUCUAUUUUCUAGUUGUUAGCACAUUGUAUAGCCUUAGGCAGUUUUAUUUUCUUUAA